AACGCACCUUGCGCUCCCUGGUAUUCCGGGGAGCAUGCCUGUUUGAGUGUCAUGGUAUUCUCAUCCUUCAUAACUUUUGUUAUCGAAGGCAUGGACUUGGAGGUCGUGCUGGUUCCUCGUUGAAUCGGCUCCUCUUAAAUGUAUUAGCGUGAGUGUAACGGAUCGCUUCGGUGUGAUAAUUAUCUGCGCCGUGGUCGUGAAGUAACAUAAGCUUGCGCUUCUAACCGUCCUUAAGUUGGACAACUUACUUUGACAUCUGACCUCAAAUCAGGUAGGACUACCCGCUGAACUUAA
rnacentral:misc_RNA from 1 species